AUGACGAUGGGGGCGUCGUCGUCGAAUAGGAUCCAUAUCGACUGGGUACAGAUGUUCAGCCCCGCCUCCCCCGGCCGCGACGAUGACGUCUGCUUCGACUCCCCUCCCUCGGCGGCCGGGAAGGGGAGGGCCAAGGGGAAUGCGUCCGCCCGUUCCUCCCCCGGCGAGGGAUUCGUCUCCCCUCCCCCGGCGCCGGCCAAGGGGAAGGGGAGGAGGGAUGCGGAGGCGGAGGGGGAGUUCUCGGGGAGAUCGGAUGACGGGCUGCGGCGGGACAUCGCGGAUUUGUCGGGCGAGGAGCUGCGGCUUCAGAUCACGUGCGUCCGCAGCACGCACCCCGCGUUCGGAGGCCUAAUCGAGCAGGAGAAGAGGGAAGGCCGCAAACGCCUCCUCCGGCUGCUCGAGGAGGAGGCGCGGCGCCGGGGGAUGGGUACGAACAGCGCCAAGGAUGGCGGUGCUUCCUACCGGGAUCCUCGUUCUGAUGCUUACUUACUUGAUGUCGAUGAUUCGGAGGCGGAGCGUGCUCACAGAUACCAUCUGAAGUUAUCUCCCAUCCGCUCGACAAAGAAAAACUACGGAGGGCUAGGUGUGGUUGCACGGAGAAGUUUGAAGCAACCUGGACGAAUGAGACCUAUACCAGAGGAUAAGAUGUACUCAAGCAAAACAUCUCCAUCUACUUUAUCUGGGCAUAAACAGAGAGUCCGUGCCGUUGAUCCAAAGGAACAUGAUAGAGAAAAGCGUCGGCAGAUUCAAAGCAACUUUUUCAGCAAUCCUGCAAAUAGGUGGAAUGUACAGCAUGGAGAUUCAUCUGUUUCAUAUUCUCGAAAGGUUAAUGAUGUGGUUCUCGUGGAUGACGAAGAUGCGCAAUCUGAUGAAUCAGUAGACUGUCGGGUGCCAGAGGAAUGGAACUACUCAAAAAUUUACUAUCCAUCAAGAGAUGAUCCAGAAGCUGUAGAGCUCACCAGUUCGGAUAUCAAAUGCCUUGAUCUUGGAGUAUAUUUGUCGUCCCCUGUAAUAAACUACUACAUUCAAUACAUCAAAAGAGACAAAUUUCAACGUGAAGCUGCCAGAAACAAUUUCCACAUGUUUAACACAUAUUUUUACAGCAAGCUUCAAGAAGCAUUAUUUGGGAAGGGCGAGUUCGUGAAGUUGAGAAGAUGGUGGAAAGGUGUCAAUAUAUUUCAGAGAGGAUACAUUAUACUGCCAAUCCAUGGAACGGCACACUGGAGCCUGGUGAUUAUCUGCAUUCCUGCAAAAGAGAGUAAUUCAGGACCAAUCGUACUUCAUCUGGACUCCUUAGGGAUGCAUCCUACUGAUGACAUUUAUCGUACAGUUAGGAGAUUCCUUGAAGAGGAAUGGAAGCAUUUAAGGAAGAACCCUCCUUCUGACAUUUCUAUUUCAGACACAAUAUGGGAGGAUCUUCCAAGGAAUAUACACAAGGAAAAUGUUGACGUAAGUGUUAUGAUGGGUGGAUACUUUAUAGAAGCAGACGAUGCAGGGCAGAACAAUGCAUAUGAUUGUGGCAUCUUCAUGCUUUACUAUAUUCAACGGUUUAUAAUUGAAGCACCAGAAAAUUUCACAAGAGAUAGACUUGUCAUGUUUAGUCGCAGUUGGUUUAGAUCUGAAGAGGCUUCUAAUUUAAGAAACAAGAUAAGGAAACUACUGCUGAAAGAGUUUGAAAGUGCGAGGGUUGAUGAUGUUAUGUCUGAGGCAGCUACAGCUGAUGGCUCUGAUGAUGACUGUUUCAUGAAGGAAGGAGAAUCAGAGGCACCUACAGCUGAUGGCUCUCAUGAAGACUGUGUGAUGAUGGAGGGAGAAUCAGAGGCGGUUAUACCUGAGGCAGCUACAGCUGAUGGCUCUGAUGAUGUUAAGACAGGGGCAGCAACAUCUGAUGGCUCUGAUGAAAUCUUAUGGAAAGGAAAAUCAGAAGCAGUUGCAUCUCGUGACAGUGAUUUAAUGGUGGUAGGAGGUGGAGACACAUUUGAGGGAACACCUUGGAGCACCCGCAAAAGUGAUGGAAGGAACAGAGUAUGUGUUCUUUCUGAAGAGGCUACAUUGCCUGGUAGCGCGGUGAAGGACGAUGAAUAUACGAUGAAAUCAGAUCUUGACAGCUCAGAAAGUGAAGAAGUUGUUGAGUUCUUACCUUCUGACAAUGACAAUGACAAUGACAAUGAAGAGGUCAUGCAUAGAGGAACAGGGCCGGAUUUAUUUUAUUGUGAUGACAGCUGUGACAGUGAAGCAGAAGAGGUCACAGGUGCUUGGAAGCGAAGAUCAAGAACAAUGAAGAGGCCAGACAGAGCCGGUGAUGUGCAGAUCAUAGAAGAUAGAAAGCCAAGAGCUAGAUUGGAACUCUGCCGCAUGACGUGA
rnacentral:rRNA from 1 species